GCGGAGCCGGGUAUAUUUCCUUGAAACAACUGGUACUGAUUCCUACUGACACACCCAUCACAUAUUACUCAAAGCUGCCCCACGAUGUUACCAAAUAUUGACAUCCUGCGCUGGGUGAGGAGGUAGCCGUAGUGAAGUAAGAGCAGUACUCAGUUCUGGAAUCUUCUUACUUCAGGAGGCCAAUCACUGAGCAGUGUUCUUAUAUUCUUUCCUUCGUUAUCUGAUUUACCAAUAACUUCUGUUAAGACGCCACCCAGAGUAAACCAUUUCCAGUUCCAGUCAGGGUCUGUUGGAAAGAUCUUUUUGCAUCUUGUCCUGGUUCACUCUGGAAACAAGUUCACCAGAACCCAGAGAUCGGGGGCUGAUGCUGCUUGCUGGGUGGCUCAGACUGCCGGGGGUCACCGGGCCCCCACAGCCGAGGCCUCCGUCCCUGAGGGAGUGUUGGGAGCCCAGAACCUGGCAGUCUGGAGCGCUGCCUUAUCUUUCUAUCUUCUCUACAGAAAAGGACAUUAUAAAAUCAAAAUGCACACCAGCAAAACAAGUGUGACGGACCAGCCGGCGAGGCCAUGGUGCAGAGGCUCACCGGCCAUCAGAAGCUUCUCCAAGGCUACUCGGUAAGGCCAGGUCCAUGUCCACGCUGACAUUUGGCGUUGUCGUGGAGUGAGGUGACCGAUGGCGCAAGCACACACAUGGCCCUGGCUCCUUCAUGGGGCCAUGCUCACCACCACUCUGGCCCAGAGGGGACCCAGGGGACUCCCUGAACCACACCGGUCAGAGUACCCCUCUCAGGACAUAAUGACAACUGAUGGCUUAGACUACGGAAACAGAGCUCUACAAAACUAGGGGCAAAGCCUGUCUUGACUACAGGCUCAUGCAGGGUGAGCAGAGUCAGCCCAGACACAGGGCCCUGGAGGGAAGGAAGGGUGGGCUCCAGGCUCCAGGAGGGCCCUCCUCCAGGCUGUCCCCUGCAGCCCUGCUCACUGGCCGGGAGCCACUUCCUGAGUGCACUCCAUUUGGGGAUUCAUAAUCCGUUGCCCAAACUUCCUUGGUUUGUCAGGUUUUGCUAUCAGCCGCCCUGUCUCAGUUAGGAAAUCAGCUUUCUAGAACUUUCCAACUCAGCUCCCGCUCUCUCCCGCUUCCAUGCCUCACCCCAGGGCCCAUGGGGAAGGAAAGCAAAAACAAGAACAGGUCUCUUACUUUCUCCCUCAUCGCCAGCUAGUCUUUCUGUGGAGAAAUGAGAAGGGAGCAGCUGGUGAACUCAGAAGGGAUG